GCUGCUUAGAUUCAAGUCAACACGGUCCACAUUCCAAAAUAUGAAGGUACUCAGGCGCUGAUCACUCUGACCCUGCAUAUGAGCCUGGCCCUUUGCGUAAGUUUAUCAGAGAAAUUUCGAAUAGAUUUGAAGAAUAACAGGCAGCAUCAUAAAGUCAUGAAUAUCUACCAUUUGCAUUCUGCUUUCUCUCAUGAGCGAUGUGAAAACAAAAUAUAGCUUAAACCAAAUCUUAAUCAAGUGCAGACAAAAAGAAUAGGAUGUACAAUGAAUUAUCUAUGUCCGCAUAAUUUACGCAAUCAGAGGGAAACCCUAACCUGGUGAUUUGAAAAUUUAGCCUCAAAUCUUCACAAGUAUCUUUGGGAACCAGCAACAAUCCACAACUACUCAAAACAGUCAAUAACUUUGGCAUAUGACUGCUGACUUUGUCACUACAAUAAGAAGAGUAUAUUGAAAAACGUCAGACAAAAGCAUGUACAAUGAGGGUAGAAGUAUGAAGUUGGCCAAGUGUUCAGUUUGAUCCUUGCGCAAGUCGAUAUGAGUUGCUUUAAGUUCAAAGAACUCGUCCAAUACCCUUCAGGUCGGUGCACAUGCAAUUAAUAUUCUUUUAUCAGCAUCGUCAUGCAACAAAAGCCUGACACGGUGCUGAUGGAAAGAACUGAACCCUGGCAUAAAGAAUAUUCUCAUACCUCUGCUUAGAAAUUCUAAAGCUAGAAAACAGCAGCUGAUGACAUUUAAAUUUAAUGUUUCAUGCACCCCCACAUGCAAUUAAUAAGUUCCAGAGUUCUGACGAUGCCCUGUCA
rnacentral:lncRNA from 1 species